rnacentral:rRNA from 1 species
CCUACGGGUGGCUGCAGUGGGGAAUAUUGGACAAUGGGGGGAACCCUGAUCCAGCCAUGCCGCGUGUGUGAAGAAGGCCCUCGGGUUGUAAAGCACUUUCAGUGAGGAAGAACGCCUGGUGGUUAAUACCCAUCAGGAAAGACAUCACUCACAGAAGAAGCACCGGCUAACUCCGUGCACAGCAGCCGCGGUAAUACGGAGGGUGCGAGCGUUAAUCGGAAUUACUGGGCGUAAAGCGCGCGUAGGUGGCUUGAUAAGCCGGUUGUGAAAGCCCCGGGCUCAACCUGGGAACGGCAUCCGGAACUGUCAAGCUAGAGUGCAGGAGAGGAAGGUAGAAUUCCCGGUGUAGCGGUGAAAUGCGUAGAGAUCGGGAGGAAUACCAGUGGCGAAGGCGGCCUUCUGGACUGAAACUGACACUGAGGUGCGAAAGCGUGGGUAGCAAACAGGAUUAGAUACCCUAGUAGUC